CCCUCUCUCCCUAUUCACCACGACCCCACUCUUCUUCAUCGUAAAACCCUAGAAGCCUAUUCUCACAAUGCCUAAAGUUCAUGGAUCUGGUACACACUCAAACGGCAGCGAAUCGGUGAAUAUCCAGCGGAGAUUUCAAAUCUAUCACCGGAGAAAAAACCAUUAUCUACUGUUUCGAGUUCGAUAAUUUAACUAAAAUUGCAUCAAGUAAUUAUAUCAAGAAUCCUCUCAAUACUGAUCUCGUGAAAGAAAUUUACGAGUCUGAGCUCUCAGUGAAACAAAACUGUUAUUAAGAAUCCUUUCAAUAUGACUGUUUCCUUUCACAGAGUUAUGAAUUUAGAGGUUUCUCGGUAUUUGGAGUAGUAUCUCUGGCCUCAUUUUGAUUCUGAUACUGCUAGCUUGGAACAUCUUAUGAUAUGAUACUCAUGAUUAAUGAGAAGUGUAGGUUAGAGAGAAUAUAGCUGCUUGGUCUCUGACAAUUUAGUUGUUGAUGGAUUGGAAGGACUUUAAUAUCUUUCAGAGUUUGGAAAAUGAUAUUGUCUGCCAGACAGUAUUGAAGCCAGCAAGUCUGCGGGUCUGGAGUUGUUUGUCUCAUGUGCGGUUUCAGAUGGAGAUGUGCCUCGAUUCGAAUUUAAUAAAGAAAUGGCAUAAGAUGAUAAAGAAGCAAUCUGAGGAAGCAGAGAAACGAGGAGAGCCUUUUGACCUCUUAAGCAAGCCCAAAGUAAGAUUUGUUAAGAAUCUGAUUGAAGAAUUUUUGGAGAUACUCGAUUCCCAGAUUUUCCACAGAAACAAUCGGAUCAUGUAGAUAAUCAAUUUGGUGGUUCUGAACAAGUUGAUAAUGGCUUUGUGCCAUACUGUGAAAGGUUUUUGGAGUUUCUCAUUGAUUUGUUAAGCCAAACUGCCCACAAGGAGGUUUUUGAGGCCUGUUGUUGCUGAUGUUGCGGUUGUUCCCAAAUGUCAUUUAAGUGCUCUUUAUAACCACCCGAAGCGACGGCUUUUUGCACGGUUGGUUGAUCUGCUCCAGUUGUACAAAGGAUUUGAGAUUAAU